ACUGCAGCUUCUGAUUUUAAUUCCAGGGUUGAGAAAGUGCAAGGCAUUACUUUCAUGCUAAUGAGAAGAGGCAUGAGUGGAUUAGCACCAGCUUGCCAGGAGUUAGUUUAAGAGAAUCCUAAGGUUCUCUCCUGGAUUUCUAGAGGAUAGAGCAGUCUACUUACCUUGUCAUAAUGGUGACAUUUACUAGGACACCAGAUGGUCCUCCAACCAGACAGGAGGGACGAGGGACGAGGGACGAGGAUCCCAGAGGUGGUCGAGUGCUUACUCUGUGGUGGGAAAAAUGAGACUCAGUGAAGCUGCAAAGGUUGAUGCCUUUGUCAUGGGAAUUGUACGUAACGGCAGGGGCACGGGCAACAGAGCAGUGUCUAUCGAGGAGAGCUGCCCGCAGCUCAACACAAGAAAUGGAUCCGGGGCCUUGGGAAGAGGUCUGGCAGGCUGAAAUCAGGCUGCUUCAUGGCCCUGCAUUUGAAAAUGCCUUGGCAACAGCCAGUGCCCUUUAAAAUUCUCAACUGAAAAAAACAACUGAAAUGCUUCGUGGAUGAAACCCAGAAUCACAAAAGGCAUAGAAGCCAUGGGAGAGCACUGGGACUAGGAACCAAGUCCUAAGAGUCGCUCGCUGGACUCUGCGCUCCUUCUGUGGAAGCUGGGAGCCAACGGGAGAAUACACGGAAUACCAAUGGCUCAGGAGUCUUGGGAGAGCCUGCCAAGGACACAGGAAAACUGAGAUGAGAAAGGGAGAGCCACAGAUUCCUACCCACGUAGUGUGCGCUCCUGGACUCAGCCGCCCCUGAAGCUGCACUGCCCUGGACAUUUCGGUUCCGAGAGCCAAUGAAUUCACUCCAUGCCUAAAUCUGUUUCAAUGGACUUUCUGUCAGUCAGCACUCAGCAAGGCGGGCCUGUGGCUCCACUCACAUACCAGGGUGGUGUCACUGUGCAGUGGAAUUGGCCCUGACUUAGGAUUCAUGAAGGGAGACUAGGGGGAGCUUGUCACCUUGCACCUAAGGGGAGGGGUGUCAGACAGCCCAGCAGAGGCCACGGCCAAGCACCUGGGCCUCAUCUCUCUGGUGUGAUUCCAGCUUCACCUUAUGAGGAUAAAGUUCCCAAGGGGACUGGAGUGAGGAUGUGGAGACCCUAAGAGAUUUACUGGACAACUUCAACAGGUAAAUGUGCAUCAGGACGUGUACUAUACAUAAAUACACAUGGGUGCCUAUGUGCCAAUCAGUUACUAAUAGGAAGGUAAUCGUCCAUGGAUAUUAGAAAGAAGAUUUAUCCCACCACAGGCAAAAACCUAUGGAGGAGGAAUCCAGGUCUUAUCAAUUGAUAAAUUAGGCAAUAAUUAUUUGUUAAGGAUUAUACAGACUAUCUACAAAGAAUAAAAUGCCGGAGCCAGAGUUGAGGCACAGCAAGUUAGCCACCACUUGCAAUGCUGGCAUCCCUCAUCAGAGUGCCUAUUCAAGUCCCAGCUGCUCUGCUUCUGAUCCAGCUCCCUGCUGAUCCACUUGGAAAGGCAGUGGAAGAUGGCCCAGGUGCCUGAGUCCCUGACACCCAUGUGGGAGACCAGGAUGGAGUUCUUGGCUCCUAGCUUUGGCCUGGGCCAUUUGGAGAGUGAAUCAGUGAAUGGAAGAUCUCUGUUUCUGUCUCUCCUCCUCUCUUUGUCACCCUGACUUUCAAAUAUAUGAAAAAAUCUUAAGAAAGGAAGGCAGGCAGGCAGGCAGGCAUGCCUCACCCGAGAUAGGAGAAACGAUUCCUAGAAAGAGACUUUUAUGGCCCCGAAGAAACCUCAGAAGAUGGUUACCACAAGGUCAGAAAGGCAAUUGUAAAGACGCCCAUGAAAACACAAGUGAGAAUCCCAUGAGAACCGUGAACUCCCAGAGGGUGGAGGUGAGGGCUUGCAGAAAUGCUUCUCUGUGGCUCCAAUCUCCAUGCAGCUGGCCCAGAACCACGCUUGGUCGAUGAGCCGCUCUCUCCACUUCUGUCCACAAACACAGCCGCCAGUCGGGCUGUCUUUGACUCCUUACCCCUCAGCCAAUCCACCUAGUCCUUUAGGUUGUACCUUCAAACUACAUACAGAGAUUCCCCACUACCCCAUCCCAAAUCCACAGGGCGUGGGUUCUCAGAUGCCCUACACAUACCAAAAUCUGAGGAUGCUUGAGUCCCAAUGGCAUGGUAUUUGCAUAUAACCCGCACGCAACUUUCUGUAUACUUUACGUUAUCUCUAGAUUACUUACAGCACUUAAUACAACAAAAAUAUAAGCAGCUGAUACACUGUGUUUUUUAAAGGAAUAAUGGCAUGGGGAAAAGUUUGUACAUGUUCAGUAUAAUAGCAAUUUUUAAAGAUUUAUUUAUUUGAAAGGCAGAGUUACAGAGAAGGAGAGGGAAAGACAGAGAGAGAGAGAGAGAGAGAGAGAGAUCUUCCAUCUGCUAGUUCACUUCCCAAAUGACCGCAACAGCCGGCCAGAGCUGAGCUGAUCCAAAGCCAGGAGCUUCCUUCAGGUCUUCCACAUGGCUGCAGAGCCUAAGGACUUCAGCCACCCUCCGCUGCUUUCCUAAGCGCAUUAGCAGAGAGCUGGAUCAGAAAAUUGAGCAGCUGGAACUCUAACCAACAUCCAUAUGGGAUGCCAGCAUUGCAGGCAGCAGCUUUACCCACAACACUGACUUGAAGAUGGUAUUUUUAAAAAGAUUUAUUUAUUUGAAAGGCAGAAUGAUUUUUUUUUAAAGAUUGAUUUAUUUAUUUGAAAGGCAGAGUUACAGAGAAGCAGAGGAAGAGAGAGAGAGAGAGAGAGCAGUUUUCCACCCGUUGGUUCACUCCCCCAAUGCCUGCAAUGGCCAGAGCUGCGCUGAUGGGAAGCUGGGAGCUGGGAGCCAGGAGCUUACUCCAGGUCUCCCACAGGGGUGCAGGGGCCCAAACACUUGAGUCAUGUUCUGUUUUCCCAGGCCAUAGCAGAGAGCUGGAUCAGAAGAGGAGCAGCCAGGAUACGAACUUGUUAGUUACAUUUAGUUAUAUAUUCCUGAGAGAGAAUAGUCUGGCAGCUAAUUAUAAAAUGCUCUAUAGUCCAUAAAAGGAAGCAAUCAUUGUUUACAUUUAUUUCCAAGUAAGGAAUACUUUUAUCUUUUCCUCAUAUAUUUUACUUAUUUCUUUCUUCAUUUUUAAUAAAGGCAAGCUCCAUGAAGCAGGGAUUUUUGUGUUUGUUCACUGUUAUGCACUCAGCACCUAGCUAGUGCCUAACUCAUAGAAGGUACUGAAAAAUACACACAAUUGAGUGAAUGAUUUGCUUAGUGUUUAGAAAUGUUACCAAGGGUAAGCAUUUAGCCUAGAGGUUAAGAUGAACCACGUCACCGGGUCAGUUAGCCUGUAAUGCUGCCAUCCCAUAUGGGCACCAGUUCGAGUCCCCUGCCACUCCACUUCCAAUCCAGCUCCCUGCUAAUAUGCCAGGGAAAGCAGUAGAAUAUGGUCCAAGUGCUUAGACCCCUGCACACAUGUGGGAGACCCAGAAGAAGCUCCUGGUUCCUGGCUUCUGCACAGUCCAGGCCUGGCUGUUGUGGCCAUUUGGGGAGUGAACCAGUAUAUGGAAGACCCUCCUCUCUGUCUCUUCUCUCUUUUUCUCUCUGCAAGUCUGCCUUUCAAACAAAUAAGUCUUUUAUUAAAAAAAAGAUAUCCAUGUCCCAUAUUGGAGUGCCUCAAUUUGGCACCUACCUCUUGUUCCUGACUUCAGCUGCCUGCUGGUACAGAACCAGUGAGGCCAUGGUCAUGGCUCAAGUAAUUGGAACUGAACUGAUUGGGGUUCUCCGUUCCCUGCUUCAGCCCCAGGCAGGGACUACUGGAGACAUCUGGAGAUGCCUGGCAGAUGGGGGCACUCUGUCUCUCCAGCUAGCUAGCUAUCUCUGCCUCUCACAUAAAUAAAUGUUUCCUACAUGUUUUUAAAUGCUACCACAUAGCAAACAAGGGUGUUGUCUUUCAAUCUCUCCAGAGCUCGCCUUUGCAUGUGCGAUGCCUCAGUGGUCAGGAGUUGUCCUGAACUUAAUUAUCACUGAAAAGCUUUGUAAAGUCUUGUUUACAGGCAGUUGCCUAUUGUUCGGUCUGAUCUUGGACCAAAGCUAUGGGUGUAUGAAGUUGAGUCAGGAGAAAUGAGCAGCGUUUUGAAUUUCGCCUUUGGCUUGCUCGUUUUAGACUGCCCAACCAUCCACAUCGUUUGUUCUGGAAAUCUGAUUCUUUUGAACCCCUGGAUUGAAAACAGUCAUUGCUGCUCCCCUCCCCGGUGUUUUAUUAGACACAAGAGAGCCGCUCAAGUGCUUUUGCUUUCCUCUGGCCUUUCCCGGAGUUUUCCCGACUGACCAGUCUGGAUGUGACUGUGUCCUCUCCAGCCAUGGGCAGGGACUGAGGCUCAGAACACAAAACGUGGAAUGAUUGUGACACUUCAACCAGACGGGAAACGGAUUCAGGGAGUAACAUCGCUGCCUCUUCCGUUGACUUGAAAGACCAAUGAACACCCCAACAGAGACACAUCAGCAUUCAAAUUAGCAUGAAGGCAAAAGCAAUCAAACCUUAAAAACAAAGGAGAGCAGGCUUGCACAUUUUAGGAGAAGAAGUAAGGUACAAUGGUUAGCGUGCGGCUGGAAUCAAGACUAUCUGGGUUCAUAGUCCAGCUCCACCACUUAACUAGCUAGGAGGUCAGGCUAGUUCUUUUCUCUAGGUCUCAGUUUCCUCACCUCUGAGAGUCUAUUUUAUCAGUUACCAGGAUAAAAUAUUAUAUGUGAUAUGUUUAUAACCUUGCCUAGUAUAGGAGCUCAAUAAAUGUUAACUAUUGAUUGUUAGUUGUUCUGUGAGUGUUAAAGAAAAAAAUCCGGACAAUUUUGUUGUGAACAAGUAUCAGCACAUUCUUACAAUCAUGCAUGCAGGGAAAAAGGCCCCAGUAGGCCAACUCAGAGACACUUUGUAGGAGGGAGAAUAUUCAAUCAAAAAUGAAAGGAAUGCCAGGUUAGAAGCCCCUGAACUCUUUUCUGAAGAUCAGCUGAGAGUCAACUGAGUGGGUAACUCAUUUCCUAGAACAAAUCUUCAUUUCAUUAAAAUUCAGUGGGAACUUGCAUAAACACCUUUUUUCUUUUCAGAAGGAGGUAAUGGAUUUUCAUCACACAGAAAAAUUCGGUCAGAUACCAGAUGUGAGAUAAUUUUUCUAUUACAGGAGAGAGGUGCCUUAGACACUCUCUCACCAUUCGCUUGAAGGUGUCCUAUAAAGGGAGAGCAACGGUGAGUCUUAUUUUCACCCUAAAAGUAAGAGAACGAGGCCUCCUCCCCAAAGUAGACCCCGUUCCCAUGAUUGGGUCAUAUGAUAAGACAACAGGAGAGUGUAAAGGGAAUCCCAUUCAUAGUCAACAAUCCAGUGAUAUCACGGAAAGUAUAUAGUCUCUGAGCCAAGCUGACUUCCAGUCAAAUCCUGGCUUGGUCAAGUUACUUAACUUCCCACUUAUCUAAAAACAGGGAUAACUAUUUCAUAGGGUUAUGGUGGAUAAGGCAAGGAAAAAAUAUACCAAGUAGCCAAUAUAGCACUGAUAUGUAAUAUAAUUCAAUGCAACCUUAAUUUCCCUUUUUAUUCCUAUUCCCCUCUCCUCUCUAUCCACAUUGCUCUCUACAGCCAGGCUCUUCAAUGAUUGAGCUCUACUACUACCCAUUCAGCCUCCAAGCUGGUUGCCACACCCCCAUUUCUUGCAUUUGCCAGAAAUUCUCAGAAGGAGAGUUGACUUGGCAAUAAUCAGCCUCUGCCAAGCACUCCAAAUGGUUACAUUAAAGCCACCCCCUCCCCAAAGAAGGUGUUAUCUUCUAGUGUCCCCACAUGUUCAGUCUUCGGGGUUCCAGAACAAUGGGGGAUUCCUCGUGUGGCUGGGAGCUCGGCCCUUCUCGCUCAACUCUGGGCCAUGCUUUGUGGCCUGAGUUCAUAUCCACAGUGUGAACUCAGAUCACGUACCUCCUGACAUACAUCCUCUACCCCUAACCACAGGAUUCACAGGUUCCUAGUGGCUGGCGGGGGGCAGGUACAACAUUAUUUCCUCUUUUCCUGCUCCCAGUCACAGAAUAAAAAUUCACAUGCAGAUAAAUAAAUCUUUAAAGAAAAAAAAAGGGGGACCCAGCACUGUGGUGUAGCAGGUUAAGUGGCCACCUGCUGUGCCAGCAUCCCAUAUGGGCGCUGCUUCCAAUCCUGGCUGCUCCACUUCCGAUCCAGCUCUCUGCUUUGGCCUGGGAAAACAGAAGAUGGCCCAAAUCCUUGGGCCCCUGCACCCAUGUGUGAGGCCUGGAAGAAGCUCCUGGCUCCUGGCUCCUGGCUUCAGAUCAAGGCAGCUCCAGCUGUUGCAGCUGAUUGGGGAGUGAACCAGUGGAUGGAAGACCUCUCUCUCUCUCUCUCUCUCUCUCUGCCUUUCCUUCUCUCUGUGUGUAACUCUGACUUCCAAAUAAAUAAAUAGAUCUUUAAAAAAAAUUUCACAUGCAUUGGAUUAGAGACAAACAACGUAAUGGUGUGUGUUCGAGGGAACUUCAAAAUGCUUGUGGAAAAUGUGUAUUAUGAAAAAACUAUGCAAGUAUUUCAAAAAUUUUUGCACUAAAAAUAAACUUAUCUUUAACUCUAUUUCUCCAUGAACUUUUAAAAAAAUUUGGCAAAAUUUAUUUGAGAAACAGAGAGAAAGAGACAGGCGAACAGAGCUGCCUCUACUGGUUUAUUCCUCCAAAUGUCCACAGCAGCCCAAGUUGGGCUGGGCCAGAGCCCGAAGCUGGGAAUCCAACCCAGGUCUCUCAUGAAGUUGGCAGGGACUCGAUUACUAGAGAUAUCACUUGCUGCCUCCCAGGGUCUGCACUAGCAAGAAUGUUGGAGUCAAGACUUGAACCUAGACACUCUGAGAGGGGGCACAGGUGUCUUAACCACUUUCUUCACCCAGGGGCCAAAUGCCUGCCCUUCCCACAAACUUUUUGAAAUACUCUUCAUAGGGGAGAGGUUGGAGAAGGGGUUAUUUAUUAGAAACAGCCCCCUAUGCUCCGUUACAGAAUAAGCCUUUGUUGAGUACUCGCUCUGAAUUUAACUAUACCCAAGAAAGUAUGAAAACAGACUUGGUCCUUAUUGCCAUUUGCAGACAACUGAGAGGAGGAAGCUGCUCCUUGAUGCCAAGGCGGUUCAUGUCUCACUCUGUGUUUCAUUCCCCAUAGCCUUGCACAUAAUGGUAUCUCAGUCUCUCCAGGCAGUGUACAUAAACAGGUGCAAAGUUCUCAUUAGCCAAACUAAUAUCUAAUAAUAAUAAACCCUGUGAUUCUUGCUAGACCUAAACAUCCAUGAUGAAGGAUCAGGGUGCUGCAAACAGUGGCCUAUGCUGUGAGGGAGGAUAACCAAAUACGUGCGUUGUCAACAGUAGAGAACAGGCUCCAGUCAUGAAAGGAGAACCAGUGAAGAAGCACCAGCACGUAGGCAGCGCGUUGAGGAUGGCUGUUGGUCGGGCCGAGCACGAGGAGUCACAGCUGUUUGCAAAUCCAGAGCAGGCCCCCAGCAGCAGCAGUCCUGGUUAAGUCGGGCUGGGCAUGCAGAGAUCUUUGCAGGUCAAACAGGCCUGUUUAUUACUCUUGCUUUGCACUUCACCAAGUACAGAGCUAGUAGGAACACUAAGCAAAUUCUCCUUCCAAGUUCCGCAUUUCAAAAUCACGACACAGACUAAUCAAGAAGUUCCAGAGCAAAAAAAUGAGUGAUUAAAUUUUUGAAAACUAAGUCUUAUGAGGAGAUGUGGCUGAGCUGGGCCAUGUUUUCUUUGUAAUGGAAGAGACUAAAGGGAGCCAUACGUCUUUACGGGUACAAAGUCGUGCUGCAGAGAGAGCAACAUUGUUUUACUACCUCCACAUCUAGUGGACAGUUAAAAUAAUAAAGGCGUGGUGCCCACAUUGCUUUGUGAGUGCUGAUAAAUCCAUAAAGUAGGCAAGGAAGACCACCACAGGCAGAUUCUGCUCCACUUUGGGCCAAGGCUGGCCUUUGUUCAAGGUGUUUUUCAAAAACCCUGUUUUUCCCCUACUAGAAUAAACAAGAACUACCCCCACAGAAGCCUUGGAAACAGGAAACAGCACCCUGACCUCUCACGCAGAAGGAAUCAAAAUAGAAAUAAUGGGUUGUAGGACAAAGCACUAGAGUGAGGUGGGGGUGUAAGCCGUGAGCACUCUCUCGGAUCCCUGUUACUCCUGUGCCUGUGAAUUGGCAAGGUCUCGGGGUGCUGGGGUGAGUGGGGGUGUCUGUCCUCCAUGAAUUGUGUACACUGUAACUGAUGCACACAUCCCCAGUGCAGGUCUGUAACCUAUGUAAGUGGGAGUGAGAAGCAUGCAGGGCAACGUGGCUUCCUCCUGACCCUUUUCUUGCUUCCACCCAUCCCGGGACAAAGGAGCACACCUUCUACAAAAGACCUGACAGCUUUUCUUUGGCGUCUCUGGCCAGCUCUUCUCUCACCCUAAGGAAGUUUAUUCUAUAGAGACUGGGGUCCAAUAUAUAAAAUGAGACCCAGUGAAGAAAGAUGAAAACAAUACAGCUGAGAAUUAGGCAGGGGCACAAGCAGGGGAAGACAGGUGACAGGUCACUCCAGGAGUGAGACAGGUGACAGAAAUGGCAAAGUGGGCCUGGAGGAGGAGCGGUGGGAACUGUGACAAACUGGAGAGCACACCCAUCCGUCUCAGUUUGCUGGGACUGCCACAACAAUGUAGCACAGACCAGCAGUGUCAGCCAUAUGCAAACUCUGAAGUUAAAUUUCCUUCUGAGCAUCCCUCUCCUGGCUGUGUAAUGUCUGUCUUCUAGUGUCUUCAUGGGGUCUUCCCUCUAUGUGUGUCUGUGUUCUAGCCUCCUCUUCCUGUCAAGGUGCCAAUCAAGUUGGAUUAGGUGGAGCCCACUUACAGGACCUCAUUUAACAUUUUAACCUCUUUGAAGAGAAAAACAAGGCAGCCGCCCUCCGAAGGACUGCGGGUGAGGGCUUCGCCUGCUGGAUUUGGGGAGACAAUUCAGGCCCCCACCUCACCUGCAGAAAGAGCCUGGGUGCACCAGCCCAGCGCUGACAGAGCAUCUUCUUUGUCAGGAGAAAGCAGAAAUCUGGAACCUCACAGGACAGCCUCCAUUUUU